AUUGAACGCUGGCGGCAGGCCUAACACAUGCAAGUCGAGCGGAGCGGCGGACGGGUGAGUAAUGCCUAGGAAUCUGCCUGGUAGUGGGGGAUAACGUCCGGAAACGGGCGCUAAUACCGCAUACUAUCAGAUGAGCCUAGGUCGGAUUCGCUAGUUGGUGGGGUAAAGGCCUACCAAGGCGACGAUCCUUACCUGGUCUGAGAGGAUGAUCAGUCACACUGUAACUGAGACACGGUCAAGACGCCUACGGGAGGAAGCAGUGGGGAAUAUUGGACAAGGGGCGAAAGCCUGAUCCAGCCAUGCCGCGGGUGUGAAGAAGGUCUUCGGAGGGUAAAGCACGUUAAGUUGGGAGGCGUUACCAACAGAAUAAGCACCGGGUAACUUCGUGCCAGCAGCCGCGGUAAUUC
rnacentral:rRNA from 1 species